UCCCUGGUGACCUAGCAGGUUAGGGAUCCAGCAUUGUCACUGCUGUGGCAUGGGUUCAAUCCCUGGCCUGGGAA
rnacentral:tRNA from 1 species